rnacentral:rRNA from 1 species
UAUGUAAAGACGAAAGAAAUCUUAGAGGUUACAUGGUAAGGAAGAGAAGAAUCCACCUGUGCGAAAUGCUGUUUUAACUUUUAAAGCCCUUUUUCGAAGGUAUACUUAAAGAGGGGCUUGCGCCACAUUAGUUAGUUGGUAAGGUAAAAGCUUACCAAGACGAUGAUGUGUAGCUGGACUGAGAGGUCGAACAGCCACAUUGGGACUGAGACACGGCCCAAACUCCUACGGGAGGCAGCAGUAAGGAAUUUUUGGCAAUGGAGGAAACUCUGACCGAGCGACGCCGCGUGAACAAUGAAGUACUUCGGUAUGUAAAGUUCUUUUAUUGAAAAAGAAAAAAUAGUGGAAAAACUAUCUUGACAUUAUUCAAUGAAUAAGCCCCGGCUAAUUAUGUGCCAGCAGCCGCGGUAAUACAUAAGGGGCGAGCGUUAUCCGGAAUUAUUGGGCGUAAAGGGUGCGUAGGAGGUUUGAUAAGUCUAUAGUUUAAAUGCAGUGCUUAACGCUGUAGCGCUAUAGAAACUGUCUGACUAGAGUUAGAUAGAGGCAAGCGGGAAUUCCAUGUGUAGCGGUAAAAUGCGUAAAAUAUAUAUGGAGGGAACACCAGAGGGGGCGUAGGCGGGGCUUGCUUGGGUCCUUAACUGACCGCUGAGGCACGAAAGCGUCGGGGAGCGCAAACAGGGAUUAGAUACCCUGGUAGUCCACCGCCGUUAAACGAAUGAAGUACUAAAGUGUCGGGGUUUUUGACUCGGUACUGAAGUUAAACACAUUAAAGUACUCCGCCCUGAGUAGGUACGUACCGCAAAGUAUGAAAAUUAAAAGGAAUUGACGGGACCCCCGCACAAAGCGGGUGGGAUCAUGUUUGUUUAAUUCGAAAGAAACACCGAAAAAACCUUACCAGGUCCUGAAAAAAUUUUGCGACAUUAUAGAAAAUAUAAAUGAAAGGUUAUCAGAAUUACAGGUGGUGCAUGGUUGUCGUCAGCUCGCGUCGUGAGAUGUUAGGUUAAGUCCUAAAACGAGCGCAACCCUUGUCGUUAGUUGCGACCACGUAAUGGUGAGCACUUUAGCGAGACUGCCAAUGAAAAAAUUGGAGGAAGGUGAGGAUUACGUCAAAUCAUCAUGCCCCUUAUGAUUUGGGCUACAAACGUGAUACAAUGACUGUUAAAAAAAAGUAGCUGUAACGUGAGUUUAUGGCCAAUCUCAAAAAAACAGUCUCAGUUCGGAAAUGUAAAACUGCAACUCGACUUGCAGAAGUUGGAAUCGCUAGUAUCCGAACGGAUGGGUCAUGAAGGCUCACGUGAAUCCCAUGGCACCCCUUCCCCGUUUUUUUUUUUCCUUCCCUCACCCAACCCCCAAAAAAAACUUUUCCCCUCUUGGGGGAACUAAUGAAGGGGGAAAUUUUGAGAAUUUU